GUCCCUGUAGGGGCAAUGGACAGCGCGUUGGACUUCUAAUCCAAAGGUAGUGUGUUCGAAUCCCACCUGAGAUG
rnacentral:tRNA from 1 species